rnacentral:lncRNA from 1 species
UUUUAGCUCUGUGUUUUGUGAUCAUGAUGACAUCUGCUCAAAUGUGGACUUGUAAAAACAGAGCCCCAUAUGCUCAAAGGAAUCCUCACACAGGAUGCAUACGUUAUAUCCAUGGAGUGAGUUACUCUUGGUUUGUAGCAGAAAUGUCCAUCAUUUCUGUUUAAUACACACAUUCUCCUGGGAAUCGUGCUCUUAGAUAAAGCUGCCAUAUCUUGUGUGAACAUUAUAGAGAGGAAGAUAAUGGGCAUGACUGGCAUGUGUCUAGUUAUAGUAUUCUUUAGUUGGCUGAGUUCUUUCUUCAGAGUUAAAGAACAUGAGGAUCCAUUCGGCAUUCUCAUGGAUUCAAAAGAAUCCUAGAGAUACAGACAAUGAAGCAAGAAAUUGUUAAAAAUGUGAAACAGAAGAAUGUGAACUCAUUUUUUUUUUUUUUUGAUUAGCCCUGAGCUAACUACCACCAAUCCUCCUCUUUUUGCUGAGGAAGACUGGCCCUGAGCUAAUAUCCAUGCCCAUCUUCCUCUACUUUAUACGUGGGACACCUACCACAGCAUGGUGUGCCAAGCAGUGCCAUGUCCGCAGCCGGGAUCCGAACCAGCGAACCCUGGGUCGCUGAAGCGGAACGUGCAAACUUAAUGCUGUGCCACCGGGCCGGCCCUCUGAACUCAACUUUUUUAAGUGACUGAGACUUAGCCAAAGGAGACAUGAGGUGCCUCGGCAGUAACAAGCCAUUUUCUCUCAGAAUCUGUGAAGUCUUAUGGUCCUUCUGGUUGUGCUAUGUGGGACACAGCUUCAGCAUGGCUUGACGAGUGAUGAUAGGUCCACGCCCAGGAUCCGAACCAGUGAAACCCUGGGCCACUGAAGCAGAACGCAUAAACUUAACCAUUCAGCCAUGGGGCCGGCCCCGGGAAGAACCUCUUUAAAACCUGAGCUCCAUCCACAUGCCCAGCAUUAUUAGGUCUAUAAAAAUGGUAUCAGAAUCCUAAUGCUGGAUGAUGUGACCAUUUCAGCAGUUUUGAAUGUAGCUGAAGUUAAAAAAAGAAAUGUACCACUCAUUUAUUUGGUAAGUUGUCCCAGAACUGCAGAUCAGGUAAAAUAAAUCCAAUUUGUUAGUGUUAGUUUGCUACUUAAGGGAAAGAAAUCUAACUUACAGAAAAGCCCCACCUCCCCUCCACAUUUAGAAAUCUAUCUAAAGACUGUCUUUAAUGCCCACUAUAUAAACAACAUUAAAUAUUCUAAGUUAGAAAAUAGUGUUAAUGGUUUAUUGGUAAAAAUCCAAACUCUAGACUUUAUGGAACUAGUAGUUUGGUGGGUAUAUUAACAUUCCAUCUUAAUCUUUGCUAAUAUUACAAAGAAAGAGGAAACACUAGAAA